UCUUCUUUGAGUUACAUCAGCUUGGUGUUGUAUAACUUUAUUGUACUCAAAUGUUUAUUUCCUCUAGGUUUGGGAAGUUCUCUGAUAUCCUUUUGAAUAAACUUCCUAUCUCUUUCUUCCUCCUCUUUUAAGGCCAAAAACUUUUUUUUUUUGAGGUGGAGUCUUGCUCUAUAACCCAGGCUGGAGUGCAGUGGCAUGAUCUCAGCUCACUGCAACCUCCGCCUCUCGGGUUCAGGUGAUUUCUCCUGCCUCAGCCUCUCGAGUAGCUGGGAAGACAGGAGUGCACCACAACCCUUGGCUAAAGCAGUGUUGAGAUUUCACCAUGUAGGUCAGGCUAGUCUUAAACUCCUGACCGCAAGUGAUCCACCCACUUCAGCCUCUCAAAGUGUUGGGAUUAUUGUGUGAGCCACUGUGCCUGGCAGGUCAAAAACUCUUAGUUUUGCCCUUUUGAGGCUAUUUCCUAGAUCUUGUAGGGGUGCUUUAUUCUUUUUUUUUUUUUGUCUCCUCUGACUGUGUAUUUUCAAAUGUCUGUCUUCAAGCUCAGUAAUUCUUCUGCUUGAUCAACUCUGCUAUAAAAGACUCUGAUGCAUUCUUCUGUAUGUCAAUCGAAUUUUUCAACUCCAGAAUUUCUGCUUGAUUCUUUUUAAUUAUUUUUAUCUCUUUGUUAAAUUUGUCUGAUAGAAUUGUGAAUUCCCUCUCUUUAUUAUCUUGAGUUUGUUUUGAGUUUCCUCAAAACAGCUAUUUUAAAUUCUCUGUCUGAAAGGUCUCAUAUCUUUGUUACUCCAUAAUUGGUCCCUGGUGCCCUGUUUAAUUCAUUAGUUAAGGUCAUGUUUUCCUGAUGGUGUCGAUGCUGUCAGAUGUUCUUUGGUGUCUAGGCAUCAAAGAUUUAGAUACUUACUGCAGCCUUUGCAGUCUAGGCUUGUUUGGGCCCAUUCUACUUGAGGACACUAUUCAGGUAUUUGAAGGGACUUGGACCCAAGAUUCAGAUAUUUGCAGUAGCCUUUGCAAUCUGGGUUUGUUUGGGCUUAUCCUCCUUGAGGAAACUUUUCAGGUGUUUGAAGGGACUUGGAUUUGGCUGUAGUUUUUACAGACUCAUGGGGUACCACAUUGGUGGUCUUGGAUAAUUCAGAGGAGAAAGAGAGUCUCUCUCCCUCUUUGCUGAACAGCCUGGAACUGGGGAUGUGGUAAUAUAAGCACUCCUGUGGCCAUGACCACUGGAACUGUCUGGGUCAGGCAUGAAGCCAGCCCAGCACUGGGUCUUGCCCAAGGCCUGCUGUAACCAUUACCUGCCUUCCACCUAUGUUCAUGCAAGACCAUGGGGCUAUAUGAACAGCAGGUGGCAAAGCCAGGCAGAUUUGUGUCCUUCUCUUCAGUGCAGCGAGUUCCCCCAAACCCUGGGCAGGUCCAGAGAUAUUGUCUGGGAGCCAGGGAGUAGAGUGAAAGACCUUAGAAAUUUGCCUGAUAUUCUAUUCUACUGCAGCUAAGGUGGCACUCAAACCAGAAUACAAAGUCCUUCUCACGCUUUCUUCCCCUUUCCACAAGGCAGAGGAGCCUCUCUCUGUGGCCACCACCACAACUGGCCUAUGGCAGGUCUUGCCAGGCUACCACUGAUAUUCACUUAAAGCACAAGGGCUCUUUAGUCAGCUUGUGGUGAAUGCUGUCAGGCCUGGGAUGCACCCUUCGGGGCAGUGGACUCCCUUCUGUCUCAGGGCAGGCCCAGAAAUGCUAUCCAAGAGCCUGGUCCUGGACUCAGGGACCCCAAGAGGCUUCUUGUUGCUUGAUCCCCCUGUGGUCUAGCUGGUACCUAAGGUGCAAACAAAGUCCCCUUUACUUUUUCCUCUGCUUUUCUCAAACAGAAGGAAACUUUUGCUGUAGUCACCACAGCUGGAAAUGUGCUGAGUCAUACUUGUAAUCAGCAUAUCUCAGAUCUCAAGACCCACCGUGUCACUGGUGGUUAUUCAGGGCCCAAGGAUUCUUUAGCCAGUAGAUAAUGAAUUUUGCCAGGACUGGGUCCUUCCCUUCAAGAUAGUGGGCUCGCUUUUAGCUCAAGGUGUGUCUAAAAAUGUCUGGGAACUAGAGCCUGGAAUGGGGAACUCAUGACUCUGCCCAGUGCCCUAUCCUACUGUGGCUGAGCUGGUAUCCAAGAUGCAAGAGAAAGUCAUUGUUACUCUUCACGGUGAAAGACUUUCAUUGCUGUGAGCUACACUGCCUGUGGUUGGGGAAGGGGCAGUGCAAGUACUCCUGUAGCUACCCUGGCUAUUAUCUUCCUAGGUCACCCGCUACCCUAGUCCUCUGGCUCUGAGCCCAGCCCAACACUGGGAGCUACCUAGGAAUUGCAGUCCUUGUGUCCUAGACUGCCUUUCAAAUUUACCUAGGACCCCAGAGCACUUUGGCUUGCAGUGGUGAGGCUUGCUGAGAGCAGUGGUCAGAUGUGUGGUCAUAUACUGAUUCGUGGGCUAUAGCCAAUGGUUUGGCUGGAUUCUCAGUGACUUGGAAGACACAUGAUUGGAAAACUGGUGACAAAGAAAUCUAGGGAAGAGGUAUGUGGAUAGACUUCUCAGAGUGGUCAAAAACUGUGAAGAUAUUUGUAUUCCAUGUGAGCUCUCACCAAUGGGUGACCUCAGCAGAGGAGGAUUUUAGUAAUCAAGUGGGCAGGAUUACCCAUUCUGUGGACACCACUCAGCCUCUCUUUCCAGCCAUCCCUGUCAUGGCCAGAUGGGCCCAUGAACAAAGUGGCCAUGGUGGCAAGGAUGGAGGUUACACAUGGACUCAAUAACAUGGAUUUCCACUCACCAAGGCUGACCUGGCUAUAGCCACUGCCGAAUGCCCAAUUUGCCAGCAGCAGAGACCAAUGCUGGACUCUUGAUAUAGCACCAUUCCUUGGAGUGAUCAGCCAGCUACCUGGUGGCAGGUUGAUUAUAUUGGACUUCUUCCAUCAUGGAAAGGGCAGAGGUUUGUCCUCACUGGAAUAGAAAUGUGUUUGCCUAUCCUGCAUGCAAUGCUUCUGCCAAGCCUACCAUCUGUGGACUCAUGGAAUGCCUUAUCCGCCAUCAUGGUAUUCCACACAGCAUUGCCUCUGACCAAGGUACUCACUUUAUGGCUAAAGUGGGCUCAUGCUCGUGGAAGUCACUGGUUCUACUGUGUUCCCUAUCAUUACGAAGCAGCUGGCUUGAUAGAACAGUGGUAUGGUCUUUUCAAACCACAACUACAAUGUCAACUAGUUGACAAUACCUUGCAGGGCUGGGGCAAAGUUCUCCAGAAGGCUGUGUAUGCUCUGAAUCAGUGUCCAAUAUAUGGUACUGUUUCUCCCGUAUCCAGGAUUCACGGGUUCAGAAAUCAAGGGGUGGAAGUGGAAGUGGCACCACUCACCAUUACCCAUAGUGAUCCACUAGGAAAAUUCUCAUGACAUUACAUUCUGCUGACCUAAAGGUCUUAGCUCCAGAGGGAGGAACACUGCCAGCAGGAGAUACAACAAUGAUUCCAUUAAACUGGAAGUUAAGAUUGUUACCUGGACACUUUGGGCUUCUCCUACCUUUAAGUCAACAGGCUAAGAAGAGAGUUACAGUGUUGGCUUGGGUGACUGACCUGGACUGUCAAGUUGAAAUCAGUCUACUACUCUACAGCAGAGGUAAGGAAGAAUACGAAUGGAAUACAGGAGAUCCAUUAGGGCAUCUCUGAGUAUUACCAUGCCCUUUGAUUAAGGUCAAUGGGAAACUACAAUAGCCCAAUCCAGGCAGGACUACAAUUUGCCCAAACCCCUCAGGAAUGACAGUUUGGGUCACCCUACCAGGAAAAAUCCCAUGACUUGCUGAGGUGCUUGCUGAAGGUAAAGGGAAUACAGAAUGGGUAGUAGAGGGUAGUCAUCAAUACCAGCUAUGACCACAUUGACCAGCUGCAGAAACAAGAUUGUAAUUGUCAUAAGUAUUUCCUCCUUCUUUUGUUAAAAACAUGUUUGUGCAUGUAUACACUUGUACUAAGAAAAUAUAUUUUAUUUCCUUUUUCUUUAUCAUAAGAUUAAUUGAUUUUAUGUCAGCAUUUAUGUAUUGUUAACUUGGUGUAAUAGUAUUUGGAUUGGGGAUUGGUGCAUUUCUGGUUGUGCAAAGGAUAGCUGCAUUAUGUUAAAUUUAAUUGUGACCUUAUUGUUGUUGUUAUUUGAAGAUUACAUGUGAUCUCAGGAGAUGUGUGUGGGUUCAAUUUGACAAGGGGUGGGCUUGUGAUGGUUAAUACUGAGUGUCAACUUGAUUGGAUUGAAGGAUUCAAACUAUCGAUCCUGGGUGUGUCUGUGAGGGUGCUGUCAAAAGAGAUUAACAUUUGAGUCAGUGGGGUGGGGAAAGCAGAUCUACCCUUAAUCUAGUGGGCACAUUCGAAUCAGCUGACUGUUAAUAUAGAGCAGGCAGAAAAACGUGAAAAGAAGAGAUGGGCCUAGCCUCCCAGUAUCUUUCUCCCAUCCUGGAUGCCUACUGCCUUCGAACAUUGGACUCCAAGUUCUUUGUUCUGGGACUCAGACUAGCUCUCCUUGUGCUUCAGCUUGCAGACAGCCUAUUGUGGACCUUGUGAUCAUGUAAGUUAAUACUUAAUAGGCUCCUCUUUAUAGAUCUAGCUUAAUUUUGCAGCUCAGAAAUUUCUUUAAGAACUGAAUUUUAUGGCUUUUUUCAUGGUAGGGUGCUCCAAACUGUCAUUUCUGAGGGGCUUGGCCCAACUGUAGUAUUGCCUGGAUUGGGCUGUUGUAGUUUCCAAUUGACCUUAAUCAUUUAUAUAUAAAUCUAUAAAUAAAUAAGUAAACAUACAUAUAUAUAUAUAUAUAUAUAUAUCCUAUUAGUUCUAUUGUCCCUCUGGAGAGCCCUAAUACAGAUGCCACCGAAUAUUGGUCCAUAGCAAUAAAACACAUAUUUGCUGUUAAUUAUAUAGUCCCAAUCUCAGCCAGUCCUGUUAGAAUUGGAGACUAUUCCACUUGUAAUUUUUAUAUCCUUUCCUCAGUUACACUUCCCUUCCACCUAUAGGGACUAGAGUAGUGACAUUUAAGUAAAAGGGGCUAUUUUAAAAAAAUAUGGUGUUUAACCAUCUGGGGUAAUAUGAGUUACUGAAUUGGGGUUACUCUGAUUUUUUUAAAAAAAGCCUUGUUACAAAUUUUAAACAAAUCAAUGUUUUAAUGUUAAUAAGAAAAAUUUAUAAAUUUCUCCUACACUCCUACAAUCCCUAUCCUUGAAUUAAUUGAUGUUAACACUUUAAUAUAUAAUUUAUCUCCUCUUGUGCUAGUCUCACUCUGUGUGUGUGUGUAAAAUGGGGCCAUGUGUUUUAUAAAAAUACCUACAUGAGUCACUUAGGAUGCAUUCAGUUACAGGGAAUAGAAAACUCAAUUUAAUUGGCUUCAACAAGCAAAUGUAUUGGUUUAUAUAGCUAGAAAUUUCAAAAGUUAAGACAAGUUUUGGUGUUAGCUUAAUUUGGCAGCUCAGAAAUUUCUUUAAGGGCUGAAUUUCUUUAUAUAUAUAUAUUAUUUCUGGGAUAUCUGCUUCAUCCCAAAGCUUAUUCCUCAAGUGAUGGCAACAUGGCUACCAACAUCCUCUGAAACCACCUCUUCCAACCCGGAAGAGUGAGUGUCCCCUCCCCAGCCACUGGGCAGUGUCCUAGGCUUCCCUCUCAUUGGACCAUCUUGAUCAUGUGCCUUUACUGGGCCUGGAGACUGUCCUAUGUUGAUUGGCUUAGAUCUGGCUUAUGUGCUGGUUCCUGAAACAAACACUGUGCCAAGAGCAGGAUAUCCUUGUAGUUCAAUUUAGCUGAAUCUGGACCUCCUGCGCUGGAGCUGAGGAUGGAGUAAGUACCAGCCAAACUGCCUGGACAUUACCCAGUGCUGUGGGGGUGGAACGGACGCUGAGCAGCUCACCCUAAUACCCAAUUCAUCAUAGAAAAAGGACAGGAAGGAUAUACCCCAAAGUACCUACAGCAGUUAUUUUCAAGUGGUGGUACUAUGGGGAUUUUUUAUUUUCUUUUUUAUGCUUAUCUGUAUUUUACAUUUUUGACAACAAGCAUAUAUUGUGUGAAUAAUUUCAAGGAGAAAUGAAAGCUAUAAAUAUGAGGAAAAGCUGGUAUAUAACACUGGCAAGUAAUUAGCAGCUUGAGGGAUUUAAAACAGACGUGUUGGCAAACAGGAAAUAUGCAUUUUCAGAAUGGUACCAACUGUGCCUUGCAGAAGCUUCCAACUGCCUUUGUCUUGCCUCUGUUACAUAAUCGCGGUCAUUUCUACAGACUUAAUCUGAGAUCUCUGAAGGCUAGUCUGGCUUAAAACUACCAGUUCCAGUGGCUUGCAUUUUCCUCUUCUAUAUGGGUGGGGAAGACUUUUGAGCUUUCCCUUAGAGACACUUUCCCUUAUGGGCAUGAGAGUGUGUGCCUCUUUGCAGAAGGACCCCUGUAUGCAGAAGAAGGGGCGCUGGCCUCGGCUUCCUUCACUUCCUCUUGGACAGAAGACACUGAGCAUUCUUUCACUAAGUGGUCACCCCAGGGGUCCUCAGCUUUCUCAGACUUUCUGCAGCUCUCUAUAUGGUGAAUCACAGAGCGACACUGGCAGCAGGCACCAUGGAAAGGACCCUCAAAUCUGAAGGCUCAAGGCGCUGGGAAAAGAUGAAGUGGAGCCUGCUCCUUGGUUUCCUACUGUUAGAUGCUGGGUGUUGGAAGUUCUUCCUUGGAUUCACAAAGAAACUCCUGCUGUUCUUCCACAUACUUUUUCCUGGGAAAGACAACUUGUUUCACUGUCAGAAAAGAUCCCCACUGUUAAAGUGACGUGAGGAUGUCUAAUGUCAGGGUAGGCAUCUGCAUUCUCACUUUGAUUUCUGCUUGAAGCUGAUUCUCAGAUUUUCUGCACUUUCAGAAAUUUGAUUUUAUCUGACCAUGCCCUUCUGGAGUUAUUCUGUUGUGAUGUAGGAAAAUACAGUGUAGGGGAGGAAAUGAAGAUGGACAUUGGAUGGUCUUAAGGAAGCAUUCUGUGUUUCUCCUGGUUAUGUCUCCACCCUACCAGAAUGCACAUUUCACAAGAGAAGGCUUUUCUUGCUAGCCUGUGUUUGUACUAGGAUUCAUCUGACUAUUCCUGCUCUGGCUUUUCGUGCAAGAGAACGAAGACUACUUUCCCCAUAUCUUCUUGGUAAAAGGAAAAAGGAACUUGCUUUUCACUAAUCCAAGGGAAAUAGAAUUAAACCUGGAAGAAAGUUCACGCUAGUCUCCAAUGCUAAGUCAGAGAAAAUGAAAAACCUUUGGUGGAAUCUGCCAGGACUCUGUGGAUUUCAGCUUUGCCAAGAUUGUUCUGAUAAAGCAUCUGGUUUAUGGGAGCCAAGCUAUUCCUGAGAUCAUGAACCUGUCUCUGAGCACUGCAACGCAUCAGAUUGACUGAGGUGAGAAGCAACCGUGAGGGCCUCCAUGUGGUCACCUUCUCUUUUGCCACAGCCAUCACUGUCAUCAUUAUGACAACAGCGUCACAGAAUUCAAAGCCGUGGACAGAGGCCUGAUACAUCCUCCUUUGCCCGCGUCUGCUGUGCAUCUCUUUCUACUGUGGCCUGGGGAUGGUUUUCCAAGGAAUGUGGGCGCUUCUGGCCAGCAGCCCCCUGCUGAUAUGCUGGAUGGUGUUGGAGCCCAGCUGAGUGUUGGAGAAGGGAUUCUCUUCACCGUAGCCUUGAUGGCCCUCAAUACUUAGGUGGCGAUUCGCCGUCCACUGAAAUCUCUAUCCUUUGUAGAUGCAGUUGAGUAUAGGAUUCUGGCUGGGACUUGGACAACCAUUAUACUCAAGAGUGUUUGCUUGUUCGUCAUAGAGGGCACUAAACCCACGGUGGCUGCAGUUUUAAAAUCGGAACCCCUUUGCCCUGUGACCUUGAAUGACACUCCCGCCAGGGCCACUGGCAUGAGUUUUAUUUUCCUUCUUUUGUCUGUCAUUCUUAGAAGCUACUCUCUGAUAUACCACAAUGGGAAAUGGGCUGGCUAUUUUAAUAGGCCAGUUAUCAAAGCAGGGAAAACAGUCCUUAUUCAUUUAGUGCAGAUAAGCUUACAUAUCAUACCGACUCUGAGAUUCAUAGGUUUGGGGAAGGUGUGCAGGGUGUUUUCCUUUGCUUGAAAUCUGGUGGGUUUUGGUGCUUUUGCAUUUGCCCAGUGUUUUAGCCCUCUGAUCUAUGGGCUCUGGAAUAGAGCUUCAAAGCAGAUUACACCACUGGAUGUGCUGUCACAUCCCCGUCACAGCUGUGGCGUGGUUACACUGUGAACAGCCGAGGGCCAGUUUAGAAAAAGCUCAGCCAUUGAAUCAAUAACUCUAGUCCUGAUGGUCUCAUCAGCUAAGGCUGAGGGCUUGUCUUUCACUCAAACUAAAUUUGGUGCCUUCGUUUGAUUUUGAAAGCAAUAUCAGUAAGUCAAAGUUAUUUGUUUGGAUUACAAACUUGACUACUAUGUACACAGUAUUGGCCUCAGUGAAAUCUUUUUAAUAUCUUUAAUUUGAAACCCAGGCCAGUGUUUUUUUUUUUUUAAUUGUAAUUUAGGUUCUGGGGUGCGUGUGCAGAUUAUGCAGGAUUGUUGCAUAGGUACAUAACUGGCACGGUGGUUUGCUGCCUUCACCCCCCCAUCGCCUGUAUCUGGUAUUUCGUCCCUCAUUAUCCCUCCCCACCCUCCCCACCCCCACUGUCCCUCCCCUAACCCCCACUACUGACUGCAGUGUGAUGCUCCCCUCCCUGUGUCCAUGUGUUCUGAUUGUUCAACACCCCCCAGGCCAGUGUUAUUAGCAGCGUGCUCUACUGUGUUUGAGCAGUUAGGCAGAUCUUGGGAAUAUACUUGUUCUUAGAAACUGAGAAAUGGUCCAUGGUUAAUGUGAAGGGAAGAAGUUUGGCUGUUUCCAUUAUAUUAAUUAAGGGUAGAUUCAGCGGCAUAUAAUAAAAAUACAGCAACAAAAUAACAGUGGCUUCAAAAAGUUAGAGAUAGAUUUUUUUUGUCUUUUUCUUUUUUUUUUUUUAGACGGAGUUUCGCUCUUGUUACCCAGGCUGGAGUGCAAUGGCGCGAUCUCAGCUCACCGCAACCUCUGCCUCCUGGGUUCAGGCAAUUCUCCUGCCUCAGCCUCCCGAGUAGCUGGGAUUACAGGCAUGCGCCACCAUGCCCAGCUAAGUUUUUGUAUUUUUAGUAGAGGCAGGGUUUCACCGUGUUGACCAGGAUGGUCUUGAUCUCUUGACCUCGUGAUCCACCCACCUCGGCCUCCCAAAGUGCUGGGAUUACAGGCUUGAGCCACCGCGCCCGGCCUGUCUUUUUCUUUAAGACAGGGUCUGGCUCUGUCACCUAGGCCUGGGUGCAGUGGUGCAAUCACAGCUCACUGCAGCCUCAAACCUCCUGGCCUUAAGUGAUCCUCCAGACUCAGCACCCCCAAGUACCUGGGUUUAUAGGCACAUACCACCAUACCUGGCUAAUUAAAAAAUACUAUUUUUUUUUUUUGUAGGAACAGGGUCUCACUAUGUUGCCCAGGCUGGUUUCAAACUCUUGGGCCAAAGUGAUCCUCCCACCUCAGCCUCCUAAAAUGUUGGAAUUACAGGUGUGAGCAACAAUGCCCACCCAUUUUUUUUCUUAUGUAAAAUAAACAUAGAGGUACAUAAUCCAGGCCUAUGUGGCAGCUCCGCUGUCAUUCUCUUCUGUUGUGCCAUGAUUACUGUGCCACCUCAUGACUCAAGAUGGCUGUUAGUGCACCUAUCAUCACAUCCACACUCCAAUCAACAGUGGAAGGAGCAAAGAAGGGUCAGCACCUUUCUUCCGUAGAUACUUCCUAGAAGUUACACAAAAUACUUUUUCUUAUACCAAACUGGUCAACAUUUAGUCACAUAGGUAUGCCUAGUGAUAUGGUUUGGCUCUGUGUCCCCAUCCAAAUCUCAUGUUGAAUUGUAAUUCCCAGUGUUUUGGGAGGGACCUGGUGGGAGGUGAUUGAAUCAUGGGGGUGUAUUUCCUCCUUGCUGUUCUUGUGAUAGUGAGUGAUUUCUCACGAGAUCUGGUUGUUUUUGAAAGUGUAUGGCACUUCCUCCUUCAUACUUUGUCUCUUCUGCCACCAUGUAAAGAAGGUUCCUUUCCCCUUCACCCUUCUGCCAGGAGUGUAAGUUGCUUGAGGCUUCACAGUUCAUGCUGAACUGUGAGUCAAUUAAACCUCUUUCUUUUACAAAUUACCCAGUCUUAGGCAGUUCUUUAUAGCAGUGUGAGAAUGGACUAACACAGAAAGUUAGUACCAGGAAAGUAGGGCCUUGCUAUAAAGAUACCAGAAAAUAUGGAAGCAACUUUGGAACUGGGCAACAGGCAGAGAUUGGAACAGUUUGGAGGGCUCAGAAAACAGGAAGAUGAGGGAAAGUUUGGAAUGUCCUGGGGACUUGUUGAAUGGUUGUAACCAAAAUGCUGACAGUGAUAUGGACAGUGAAGUCCAGGCUGAGGUGGUCUAAGAUGGAGAUGAAGAACUUAUUGGGAACUGGAGUAAAGGUCAUUCUUGCUAUGCUUUAGCAAAGAUACUCGUGGCAUUGUGCCCCUGCUCUAAAGGUCUGUGGAACUUUGAACUUAAGAAAGAUGAUUUAGGGCAUCUGGUGGAAGAAAUUUUUAAGCAAUAAAGUGUUCAAGAUGUGACCUGGUUAUUUCUAAAAGUGUACACUUGUGUAUGUGAAGAAAGGCAUGGUCUGAAAUUUGAACUCAUAUUUAAGAGGGAAGCAGAGUAUAAAAGUUUGGGAAAUUUGUAGCCCAACCCUGUGGUAAGAAAGAAAAACUCUAUCUCUGGGGAGGAAUUCCAGGCUGCAGAAAUUUGCACAAGUAAAGAAGAACCAAAUGUUAAUAGCCAAGACAAUGGGAAAAAGGCCUCCAGGGCAUUUCAGAGACCUUUGAAGCAGCCCCUUCCAUUGCAGCCCUGGAGGCCUACAAGGGAAAAAUGAUUUCGUGGGCCAGGCCCAGGGCCAUGCUGCUCUGUGCAGCCUUGGGACAUGAUGCCCUGUAUCCCAGCUGCUUCAGCUCUAGCCAUGCCUAAACGGGGUCAAGGUACAGCUUGGGCCAUGGCUUCAGAGGAUGCAAUCUCCAGGUCUUGGUGCCUUCCAUGUGGUGUUGGGCCUGUAGGUGUGCCAAAGUCAGGAGCUGAGGUUUGGGAACCUCCACCUAGAUUUCAUCCGCCUGGAUGUCCAGACAGAAGUCUGCUGCAGGGGCAGAGCCCUCAUAGAGAACCUCUACUAGGGCAGUGCAGUGGGGAAAUGUGGAAUUGGAACCCCCACACAGAGUCCCCGCUGGGGCACUGCCUAGUGGAGCUGUGAAAAGAGGGCCACCAUCCUUCAGACUUCAGAAUGGGAGAUCCACCGACAGCUUGCACUGUGUACCUGGAAAAGCCACAGGCACUCAAUGUCAGCCUGUGAAAGCAGCUGAGGGGGCUGUACCCUGCAGAGCAACAGGGUUAGAGCUUCCUAAGGCCUUGGGAGCCCACCCCUUGCAUCAUUGUGACCUGGAUGUGAGACAUGAAGAUUUAAUGACUGCCCUGCUGGGUUUUGGACUUGCAUGAGACCUGUAGCCCCUUUGUUUUGGCCAAUUUCUCCCUUUUAGAAUAGAAGCAUUUACCCAAUGCCUGUACUGCCAUUGUAUCUUGGAAGUAACUAACUUAUUUUUGAUUUUACAGGAUCAUAGAUAGAAGGGACUUGUCUCAGAUAAAACUUUGGACAUGGACUCUUGAGUUAAUGAUGGGAUGAGUUGAGACUUCAGGGGACUGUUAGGAAGGCAUGAUGGUGUUUUGAAAUGUGAGGAAGACAUGAGAUUGGGGAGAAUCCAGGGGUGGAAUGAUAUGAUUUGGCUCUGUGUCCUCACCCAAAUCUCAUGUUGCAUUGCAGUCCCCAAUGUUGGGGGAGGAACUUGGUGGGAGGUGAUGGGAUCACUGGAGGCACAUGUCCACCUGGCUGUUCUCGUGACACUGAGUGGAUUCUCAUGAGAUCUGGUUGUUUGAAGGUGUGUGGUACUUCCCUCUUUGCUCUCUGUCUUCUGCCAGCAUGUGAAGAAGGGGCAGGAAAAGCUGAUAAGAAACCUUAAUUCCAACUGCAACCUUAAUUCCUAAUUCCUUCUUGUAAUGCAGCACAACAUAGCCACAUAACUUAAUCUGCAGGCCCUCAGAUUAAGAAACAGACUCAUCAACAAGUAAGACACAACUUUCUACAAACCCCCUCCCCACAAAAGCCAAGCUGUCUCUUUAUUUUUGUUAACGUUUAUUUUUCUGAGUCUGCUUGCUAGGGAACUGUUGCACUAUUAAGCCAUCUAUGAGCAAACAAUAUCUUUGUUCCUCAGAAAGUAAAAGAAAAAGUAAAAAAAAAAAAAUUAGCAAGUUGAACUUAUAUAUAAGUCCUAGAUCUAAUAUAAGUCAUUUAAUUUAUCCUUAAAACUUAAAAAACGAUUAAAACUCUAUUUUCUGAUCUCAAAGGUGACUUCUGCUUGCAACAUUAAAUGCUAAGUGGUAGUUUUAUACUUUCAAAUACAAAUUAUCAUUUUUAAAAUUAAAAAAACUUUGAUUUGGGAAUCUAAAUGGUGUAAAAUUCAAAAGAUCCAAAUGAUAUUUGGUUAAAAAAAAUCUUUUUCCUCCCCAUUUUCCCAGGUCCCCCACUCUUCUCUAAGAAUCAACCAAUGUUAACAGUUUUUUGUUUCCUUAAGAGAUGACCUACAAAAGGCAAACUAUUGAGAACUUAUCAUUUGUAAGAUAAUUUUGGUUUUGAUAUCCUAGAUUUAGAUAGGAAAGUUGUUUAAACUGGUAUUUAGAUUAAUAAUUUAUGUCACAAAUGAGAGUGUUCAUGAUAUCAGCAAUAAUUAAUUUCAUGAUGUGAAAAUCCUUUGCACCCCCCAGGAAACUUAAACUUGGGCAAGAUACAAAAGGAAAGGGAAGAGAGGAAGUGGUAGGCAAAUUACUUGCAAUCGUGGAGAGUUCUUGUAAGAUGUUCUUUGCUCAUAUUGAAAUGGUGCAAUGAUAUUGAGUUUAAAAUCAGAAAGGGUAUAGCCAGGCGUGGUGCCUCAGGAGUUCCAGACCAGCCUGACCAACAUGAAGAAACCUCAUCUCUACUAAAAAUACAAAAUUAGCCGGGCGUGGUGGUACAUGCCUGUAAUCCCCCCUACUCAGGAGGCUGAGGCAGGACAAUCACUUCAACCUGGUAGGCGGAAGUUGUGGUGAGCCGAGGUAGCGCCAUUGCACUCCACUCCAGCCUGGGCAACAAGAGUGAAACUCCAUCUCAAAAAAAAAAAAAAAAAAAAAAGUCAGAAAUGGUGGGAGGUUUGGGCAAAUGUUCAGAGAAGAUAUAGCUUUCAUAAAGCUCUAAGAAUAAAUUGCUUUAAGGAUAAAAUGUGAAUUAUCUCAAAAUUUCCAGGUUCUUAUGAAUAUUUUAUUUACCGUAACUGCAACCACAUUACUUCUGCAUGAAACUAUUUCUGGCUUCUAUGGAGAUAUGCUAUAUAAAUACAUAUGGACUAAUUUAAGAAUAAACAGGCAAAAAUCUUAAAAGCAAGCAUAGAAAAGUAGUAGUUCAUAACACUCAUCCUAAGAAAAUGUUGAAUGGAUUCAGGCCAUUGUUUAGUCAAGUACAAGACGGCAAAAUCAGCCAUGCUUAAGGAUUUUAAGCUUUUUAUAUUCCUCCGAGAAAGUCAAAGUCCAUGUUUGUGGAAGUACCUGCCUGAUGGCCAAAGACACGGAUAUGCAGUGGAGAGAAAGCUGCACAUGGGUCAGGGUAAGGAGAGGAUGCCAGAGUGUUCUUUUGAGCCAGUAAGACUUACAGGUAGGGUCUGGCUUUGGGUUGUUGGAAGGGACCUGUCCAAAGGGCUUCAUGCCAAAGGAGAGGGGCCUCAGCAGAAAGAGGCUGGGGGUUACUACUGGCAGCAGAGGAUGAAAAUGGAGUGAGAAGCACCUGGCUAAAGACAAGGAUUUCCCAAGAGUCCAGAGGGGAUAACUUAGACUGAGGACCCCACUAAGUGCUAUAGAAAAGAAAGAAUCGCCACUAGGAAUCUGCCCUCCCCAGUAGAUGCAGUUAUCAUAUUACAGCUGCCUAUGUUAAGGAUGGCCUUUCCUGCCCUUUCAUCUUCUUCCAAGCUCUAUUCCAACCCUGGAGUAGUCACGGGCAACCUAGGGGUAGGGAAAGCUGAUAGGAAACCUUAAUUCCAUCUGCAACCUUGAUUCCUUCUCGCAAUGCAGCACAACAUAGCCACAUAGCAUAGCCAUAAGCUUUGUGGGAGUGGAGGAUGUUAUUCUGCCUAUUAUGUUUACUAAAAUGAGAUUGUUCUUUGGAGCUGAUAAUGACCAAAGAACACUUUUUUUCUUUUUUUGAGACAGAGUCUUGCUCUGUCGGCCAGGCUGAAGUGCAGUGGCGCAAUCUCGGCUUGCUGAAAUCUCUGCCUCCUGGGUUCAAGCAAUUUUCCUGCCUCGGCCUCCUGAGUGGCUGGGAUUACAGGUGUGCAUCACCACAGCUGGCUAAUUUUUGUAUUUUUAGUAAAGAUGGGGUUUCACCAUGUUGGUCAGGUUGGUCUCAAACUACUCCUGACCUCGUGAUCUGCCUGCCUCAGCCUCCCAAAGUGCUGGGAUUACAGGCAUGAGCCACUGCACUCGGGCAGGACUUUUUAUUAUUUAAGAAUAACGAGGCAAAAUUCAAUUCAAAACCAUAAUGAGUUAUCUCCUUACAUCUGUUAUGACAGCUACCAUUAAAAAACCCACAGAAAAUAACCAGUGCUGCUGAGGAUGUGGAGAAAUUGGAAUACUGGUGCAUUGCUGGUGCAGUUGUAAAUAGUGUGACCACUACGCAGUAUGAAGGUUCCUCAAAAAAUAAAAGAAAAUUACCAUAUGAUUCAGCAAUCCCAUUUCUAGGUAUAUAUCCAGAAAGAAUUGAAAGCAGAUCUUGAAGAGAGACUUGCAUGUCACUGUAGCAUCAUUCGCAAUAGCCAAGAGGUGGAAGCAACCCAAAUGUCCAUCAUGCCUCAUGGAUGAAUAGAUAUAUGCAGUUGCAUAUCUAUACAUAUAUACACACAUAUAGCAGCUAUGUAUAUAUGUGUGUAUAUAUAUGUGUGUGUAUAUAUGUGUAUAUAUAUAUAUAUAUAUAAAAUGUUCCAAUGGCUUAAAGAAGGAACUAAUUAUUGGUAAGUGGGAUAUAUAUUUCCUUCCUUUUAAAGGUUAAGCAAUAUUCCAUUGUGUAUAUAUAUGGGGUGUGUGUGUGUGUGUGUGUGUGUGUGUGUAUAUAUACACACACAUAAUUUAUAUAUACAAUUAUAUAUAUAUAUAUAUAUAAUUUCCCAAUGGCUUAAAGAAGGAACUAAUUAUUGGUAAAUAUCCUGAUCUUAUUACAUUUUAAGAUAUGGUAUAAGAUAUAGAAUAUAGUAUAUAUAAAUUAUAAAUUAUGUGUGUAUAUAUAUACACACAAUGGAAUAUUGGUAUAUAUACACAAUAGAAUAUAUAUAUACACAAUAGAAUAUUGAUAUAUAUCUUAUAUAUGUAAUAUGUAAUAUUGAUAUAUAUUAUAUAACAGAAUUAUAAUACAUACAUAAUAUAAUCUUAUUGUGAUAAGAUACAUAUCAAUAUUGUAAUAUGACAUGUAAUAUAUGUAAUAAGAUAUAUAUAAUAUUGCAGUAUGUAAAUCCAUAUCUAUCCACACAAUGGAAUAUUGUUUAACCUUAAAAAAACCAGAAUGUAGUUUAACCUUAAAAAGGAAGGAAAUUAUGUCCUAAGCUACAAGAUGGAUGAGCUCUGAGGACAAUAACGCUAAGUGAAAUAAAACAGUCACUAAAGACAAAUACUA